ACCUGCCCUUAACUCUGGGGUAAGCCUGGGAAACUGGGUCUAAUACCGGAUAGGAGCGUCCACCGCAUGGUGGGUGUUGGAAAGAUUUAUCGGUUUUGGAUGGACUCGCGGCCUAUCAGCUUGUUGGUGAGGUAAUGGCUCACCAAGGCGACGACGGGUAGCCGGCCUGAGAGGGUGACCGGCCACACUGGGACUGAGACACGGCCCAGACUCCUACGGGAGGCAGCAGUGGGGAAUAUUGCACAAUGGGCGMAAGCCUGAUGCAGCGACGCCGCGUGAGGGAUGACGGCCUUCGGGUUGUAAACCUCUUUCAGUAGGGAAGAAGCGAAAGUGACGGUACCUGCAGAAGAAGCACCGGCUAACUACGUGCCAGCAGCCGCGGUAAUACGUAGGGUGCGAGCGUUAUCCGGAAUUAUUGGGCGUAAAGAGCUCGUAGGCGGUUUGUCGCGUCUGUCGUGAAAGUCCGGGGCUUAACCCCGGAUCUGCGGUGGGUACGGGCAGACUAGAGUGCAGUAGGGGAGACUGGAAUUCCUGGUGUAGCGGUGGAAUGCGCAGAUAUCAGGAGGAACACCGAUGGCGAAGGCAGGUCUCUGGGCUGUAACUGACGCUGAGGAGCGAAAGCAUGGGGAGCGAACAGGAUUAGAUACCCUGGUAGUCCAUGCCGUAAACGUUGGGCACUAGGUGUGGGGACCAUUCCACGGUUUCCGCGCCGCAGCUAACGCAUUAAGUGCCCCGCCUGGGGAGUACGGCCGCAAGGCUAAAACUCAAAGGAAUUGACGGGGGCCCGCACAAGCGGCGGAGCAUGCGGAUUAAUUCGAUGCAACGCGAAGAACCUUACCAAGGCUUGACAUGUUCUCGAUCGCCGUAGAGAUACGGUUUUCCCUUUGGGGCGGGUUCACAGGUGGUGCAUGGUUGUCGUCAGCUCGUGUCGUGAGAUGUUGGGUUAAGUCCCGCAACGAGCGCAACCCUCGUUCCAUGUUGCCAGCACGUAAUGGUGGGGACUCAUGGGAGACUGCCGGGGUCAACUCGGAGGAAGGUGAGGACGACGUCAAAUCAUCAUGCCCCUUAUGUCUUGGGCUUCACGCAUGCUACAAUGGCCGGUACAAUGGGUUGCGAUACUGUGAGGUGGAGCUAAUCCCAAAAAGCCGGUCUCACUUCAGAG
rnacentral:rRNA from 1 species